rnacentral:tRNA from 1 species
GUCGGAGUGGCGGAAUUGGUAGACGCGCUAGCUUGAGGGGCUAGUGCCCUUUAUCGGGCGUGGGGGUUCAAGUCCCCCCUCCGACC